GCCGAAUUCGGCCAGCAACGGAGUCUACGACUAGGCCGAACCGGAAGAAAAGGUCCCCUCUCGAAUGCUAGGUUUUUUUUUGUCGGCGCACCCUAGCUGGCGGUUCUCCCUAGCCCUCGUCUUCGUUAGAUUCUCCCCACCUUUGAUACGUCAAAACAUUUGGUCAUCCGUUCCACCAGAUUUUGGUCGUCCGUCCCACCAAAACAAGGAAGGUGAUGCUGAUUUUUAAUCAAUCGCUGCCGUCUCCUUCCGCAUCUAGAUGCCUCUCUUCGUGGGUGACAGCCAUCUGCCCAUCUCUUCCGCAUCCGGCGCCACCACACCUCCUCCUCCAACGCCUUCUUAGCCGUCACCAUCACCACCGCAUGGGUGCGGCCUCCACGGCACGAAUCCGUCACUAGAUGAAGACGAAUUGAAACAUGACCUGUCCCCCACCGCAUGUCCCUGUUUAUGAUCCUCUCUUCCUUUUGGUUGAUGUCAGUGAUUUGAAUCUUACCCGCGCUUCUGAUUAACUCGUGAAGUACAAGGGAAAACAUGGUUGAAUUUCUUAGUAUGAGCCAACAAAUGCCAAAUCCCGUUUCUUGGUUUCCCUCUUUUCCAGAUUUAUUCUGUCCUAUUGAUGCGUGUGCUCUGUUUUUACAUGGCCGUGAUGAUAAACACUAUUAGAAAACAUGACAGUUCUGCUUCUGAUAGUUUAUGACAGAAGAACAAAAGAUCUGAGCCAUUAUGUAGCACAUCCAUCAUUAGUAAUCUUAUUUCGAUCUGAUUUUCGUAGAUGCGUAUCUAUAUUAUCAAAUUAGUGACUUGCAUUAGUCUCCUGAAACUUUUUUAAAUGUGAUAUUCCAAUGAUGCCAUGCCCAACAUUUGGAGGUGCGGACGUCUCGAUCCGGUAUUCCUGUUUACAGGAAGAACCUACCCGUAGUCCCUGUAUCCACUUGACAUUCACGGGCCGAGUCUGAAGAUAAGGAUUAACCUUUCACUGUAUGUUGCAUUUAAAUCUGUAGUCGUACAUUUCUGCGUUUUUUGGUUGCCGAGUUUAACUAUCCUCUAGCAAGUACCUCUGAUUUGUGGAAGAGACUGAUAAGCUCGGGAUAGCGCGUGUUGUCAUCAGCUUCAUCUCUUGUUCCUACAAGAUGGGAGUUAAAUAAAGACACAAUAUUUGAUUAGGUCGCAGCACUUUGCUUGAUGACAAAUUGAACUACUCCAAGUUGAAUUGUUUUGUUUAUGUGAGUUGAAUUAGAUAUAAUGAAUUUUGUUUUGGUAACCAUGGUUGUUACUUUCCCUCUACAUAAUCCAUCCAUUUAAUUUAUAUGCAUAUUAGCAUAACUAAGGUACGACUAAUUCAGAACUCUAAAAAUAAAUAACCAAACCAAUCGGUGGAUAUAGGCUUAUGCUCUGUUUGGAUGUUUGCAUUGGGGGGAUUGCAUGUUACAUUGGGUUGAAUGUCAAUAACUCAAGGUAUUGAUAUUGAAGUUGAAUGCCAAUAAUUUUGUUUGGAUGUUUAGAUAUUAAGAACCUGAACUUCAUAUUGAGGUUGAAUGUCAAAUGUUGUUUGAAACAUUUUCUUUAUAUCAUAAUCACUCUCUAAUCAUAGUCCACUCACAAAUCACAAUUUACAACACACACGCACACACUUCUCUCUCAAGGCCUCCACACCUGCAGAGUCAAAAACAAACAUCCCCUUGUCGAAGGGUGUGCUUGGUUGGUGCCCACACUAGGAUUCUAAGCUAACCAUAUGAAUCAGUUGACUUUCAUUGUAAAAAAUUAUUUGUUUUGCUACUAUAUAGAAAUGUUCAAUAGUGUAGAGUGAAUUAAUCAUUGAGGUGAAUAGGGGCAUGUUGAUCCUUAAAAAACGAUAACUUAGAAGAAGCAUCAUUCAUUCCCAAAAUAUCAACUUGGUUUGCCAUUUUGGUCCUCAAAGUUCUGAAAUUAUAUGACAUGAUACUAAACACUGCAUGGCUGUUGUUUGUAGGAUUGCGUAUGCAGGCAGCAUGCUGGUGACUGACUCUCCAACAGAAGAACGGUUCUUCUAUGGAGUGUGGCGGAGUCCCAACAAUCAGGAAUGGAAAAGUGGCAAUGGAUAUUGCAGGCCUAGCAGGGUUAGGAUCGUUGCCAAUCCUCCAGACCGGAUAUACUCCUUGUAAAAGCAGGUAGGUGCACUUGGAAGAUCGAUCCGAGGGUAUGGCGAGACUAGGGUGAUCAUGUCAUGGAACCAUCAUUGGGCACACCGUUUGAUUCUCAUUGUUACGACUUCUACAAAUUGUAUUUCUGGGAGCACAGUAGGAAGAGCAGGCUGAACUUGCAAAGGACCAAACUGUUGUAUGGAUUGUGAGAUGUAAGCUUAUAUGUUUAGGCGAUAAAUUGGGCAUGUCACUAAAAUUAGUCGUCCAUGUAUCAACUAUGAUCAUUGAUCACUUAAUCUUAUAUGCUUGGCCCCUGGUAUGCUUCCUAGGGCUUCUGCACA